GACGAACGCUGGCGGCGUGCCUAAUACAUGCAAGUAGAACGCUGAAGAGAGGAGCUUGCUCUUCUUGGAUGAGUUGCGAACGGGCGAGUAACGCGUAGGUAACCUGCCUUGUAGCGGGGGAUAACUAUUGGAAACGAUAGCUAAUACCGCAUAACAAUGGAUGACACAUGUCAUUUAUUUGAAAGGGGCAAUUGCUCCACUACAAGAUGGACCUGCGUUGUAUUAGCUAGUAGGUGAGGUAAUGGCUCACCUAGGCGACGAUACAUAGCCGACCUGAGAGGGUGAUCGGCCACACUGGGACUGAGACACGGCCCAGACUCCUACGGGAGGCAGCAGUAGGGAAUCUUCGGCAAUGGGGGCAACCCUGACCGAGCAACGCCGCGUGAGUGAAGAAGGUUUUCGGAUCGUAAAGCUCUGUUGUAAGUCAAGAACGGGUGUGAGAGUGGAAAGUUCACACUGUGACGGUAGCUUACCAGAAAGGGACGGCUAACUACGCG
rnacentral:rRNA from 1 species